CAGGCCCCGUGUUCCUGCGCGCUUCUUCUCGUAUAUCUAUGAAGUUAUACUUCUGAAGAUUGGAGACACCUUAGAAAGGAAGACUCAAUAGAAUUUUGCGAAACUUGGAUAAAAAGGCUGCACCCUGCUGCUGGUUAACCCAUUUUCAAAAGGCCUGCUGACAGUCCGACAGGAAAAUUGGUACACGGAGUCUAAAGGAGAUACCAUCCCUACGGCCAGGAAAAAUCACAAAGAGUAUAUGUUAUUCGGAAGGCUAGGAGAUCAUCUCCAUUUGCAAAGCGCAGCAUAGGAAAUAAUUCCUCCUAAGGAAAUAAGCAAUUUCUCUGAUUCCUGGCUUAUACAGUCACCCCUAUUAUCUGCAGGGGAAUCCGUUCCAAGACCCCCAGUGGAUGCAUGAAACUACAGAUGAUACCGAACCACACACACACACACACACACACACACACACACACACACUGUUUGUCCCUAUACAUACACACCUACCAUAAA